rnacentral:snoRNA from 7 species
GGGGGGUGUUUCCAGGGGCGGUGGCUGCUUGUAGCCAUGGGAUCUCCAACUGCAUGCCAGAGUAAUGGGGAGGCUUUGACAGCCCAGGUCAUCACAGUGCCUGCAGCUGCCACUCAGCUUCUGUAUAG